rnacentral:misc_RNA from 1 species
AACGCACAUUGCGCCCUCUGGUAUUCCGGGGGGCAUGCCUGUUCGAGCGUCAUUACAACCCUCAAGCUCUGCUUGGUAUUAGGCGACACCCGGGUGCGCCCCAAAAUCAGUGGCGGUGCCGUCUGGCUUCAAGCGUAGUAAUACUUCUCGCUACGGAGCCCAGGUGGUGCCCGCCAGCAACCCCCCACUUCUCAAGGUUGACCUCGGAUCAGGUAGGGAUACCCGCUGAACUUAA